UGCCAGCAGCCGCGGUAAUACAUAGGGGUCAAGCGUUGUCCGGAUUUAUUGGGCGUAAAGAGCUCGUAGGCGGUUCAACAAGUCGGUCGUAAAAGUUUAGGGCUCAACCCUAAAAUGUCGAUCGAUACUGUUGUGACUAGGAUACGGUAGAGGUGAAUGGAAUUCCGAGUGUAGCGGUGAAAUGCGUAGAUAUUGGGAGGAACACCAGUGGCGAAGGCGCCUUUCUGGACUGUGUCUGACGCUGAGAUGCGAAAGCCAGGGUAGCGAACGGGAUUAGAUA
rnacentral:rRNA from 1 species